AUGCAGCCACCGCUGGAGCUCUCGCCGCCGGCACCCGCCCCUAGAGAAGUGGUCGUCGCAGAGUGGCCAUCUAAGAAAAUCUGCCACUGCUUGGUCUCUACCUCAGCCUCAUCUGAACAACGUGUUUGGGCGGACCUACCAGACAGCCUGCUUCACCUAAUCAUUGCUCUCUUAAGCUCAUUCCAUGACCUCCUUGCUUUUACUGGCACCUGUCACUCUUGGCGUGCUGCGGUCUUUUCCUUCCCAUCAUCCAUAUAUGCCUUUGUCUUCCCACCUCUCCAUCUCAAGGCAGGUUUGCGUAGGGCUAAUUGGCAUUGCAACACAAGUUACAAUCUCUUAUCGAACUACAAAUGGCAUCUUUGUGAUCUUGUGAGGACAAACUUAUCUCUUCGCCGCUCAGCUCCCCGUAAUACUCCAAAUUACAUGCGCUAUUUGGGCUGCUCAUAUGGGCAUCUUAUCUUCUCCUGUGUGGAGCACCUUCUCCUUGUCGAUGUUUACACAUGUACUAAGGUGAAGCCACCCAAACUCCACACCAACAGCGAUUGUGUGAUCGAUAGUGCCAUUCUUAUGGCUCCACUCAGUUCAUCCAACUCGUGUCUCCUCCUUUUCUCGAAUUUAUUCAUCUUCCAGUGGCAGGUUGGAACAAAUUCGUGGACAGAGUACCCUCUUGUUUCUGAACACUUUCUUAUUCAGAUUGUUUUGUUCAAAGGUCAGAUGUUUGCCAUAGACUUUCCCCAGACGCUGAAAACCAUAUCCUUGGCACCUCAGCCCAACGUGCAGGAAGUCGAUGUUGUGUGGGGAGAGGACAUUGUUGUUGGCUUGAAUUAUGAUCCAUGGUUGGUGGUCUGUGGUGACAUGCUUCUCAUGGUUGAUCUUGUUGAUGACUUGAUAAGCAAUGGCACCUUUCAGGUCUUCCGCUUUGAUUCUUCAGCCGAACCAGCUAAGUGGACAAAGAUGGAGAAGUUGGAAAACUGGGCCCUCUUUAUCAGCCUUGAUAGGAGGAGCCCUACAUUUUCUUGCAUGAACCCUGAAAAAUGGGGCGGAAAGAGUAACUGCAUUUAUGUUCCAAGUGCGUCCAAAGACUCUGAUGAACCUUGGAUUGCUGUAGAGCUUGGUCAGGCAGUUUACAGUAUAACUCGCUCGGAUUCAUACAUUCUAGAAGGCAAAAGCAAUCAGCUUGAGAGCCUCUGGGUGCUCCCCAGUUUGGUCUAUGGUGUUGGCCAGUGA
rnacentral:rRNA from 1 species